UGUUCACUGCUUAUUUGUUUAACAAAUACGUAUGAGAUACCCACAUAGUACGCCGAAUUUAGAUAUCAAGUGAUAAAUAUAGGAAACGACCGCGUCAAGUUUAGCGGAAUGAAGCAGCCAACGGAAGGCAAGGGCAACGCCUUCCAUGACCAACGGAUGGCAGCUCCCUUGUGGUCACGCCAAGCGAGUCCGACUCCCCUGGGCCAAGUCCACUAUCCAUCCAUCCAUCCUCUACCCGGCGGCGGCGGGGAGCCAAAAAUCAAAAAGGCCCGAACUGUACCACGAGCACGACCGUGACUGUGCUGUACUCUGCAAUCUGCAUAUUCAUUUUUGGAACGAAAUUCUACAAAAAGAGCUACCUUUCAUAUUCAUCGCUAAUUCCUUAAGCAAAUUGAGGCGUUGCUUUGCGCACGUGUUUUCCUGUUGCCGUGGCUGGGCACUUACGCAGAAUUGCCGACCCAGUCGACACAUUACGAAGACACCCUACACAGACAGCGGCAAGUUAACAAACCUUUCUGUGGUUCAGUACAGUUGAAUGUAUUCAUUCUAAUCGCAAUGAGUGGAGGCGAACGCAUCUUCGGUGCCGUCUUAGAGCGUUUCAAACGACGUCAAGAACAUUUCUUCAAGAAAUGGGAGCAAAAGGUACAUGAUGCUGAUGACAGAGCUCUCAAUUCGUCAGACGACGCACUGUCAGGAAGCUGCCUUUUGUCUGCGACUGGGCCCAUAUUCACUCCCAGUGUCUCUGUUAUGUCAGCGAGCGACACAAGUACUAAAGAGCUCAACGACGACUAUGAUGAUGAUGAUGGUAGUGCAUCUACGGCACGAGCUAUAGUAGCGAGCCCUCCAAGGAGUUCUCUCCACUCUGUGAUCGAUGUUACGGGUACAGAAAAAGAGCUCAUCGACUGCGACGACGACGACGACGACGACGACGAUGAUGAUGAUGAUGAUGUAGCUCCAGCACGAGCCACAGUAACGAGCCCUCCAAGAGAGAGACUCCACUCUGUGAUGAAUGGGACAGAACCUGCCAUGCCACAAAAACGCAAAAUGUGUGUUCUUGAAGAGAUUUACAUUCGAGGACCCCACUUAGAUGUUUCAGGGAUGUUGCUCAAGUACAUGCUUCCUGAAGGAGCUGAAGUUGUGCGCUGUUCACGGCCCGUGAAGCCUCUGUUGCGCUAAUAGUACUUUAUCUACUUACUAGAAGAUGUAGCGUCCUUUUUGUCACGAAAGCUCGACAUGCAUGGAUGCACAGAACAGGCUGGUUGCGAGACAAAGCAAGUGAAAAUGCAGCAUAUCCACUUAAUUUGUACACUACACUACUACUAACACGUACACUACUUCAUGAGUAAUGAAUGUUAUGGAAGAACCUGACAUCAUUUUCGUCAAAAGUAGUUCUUUAGAGUGUCAUAUUAUGUUUGAUUGCCAUUUGUUUGAUUCAUGAUAGAGGAUAAUAACCAUGUAAUGGUCAGGUUGUUGUUUGCUCGUGAAAGCUCGGUAUAAAAAGUUUCAAUUUUUUUGCAUAAUUUUGUGCAGUGUUGGAUGCACGAAAAGGAACUAUUGUAAGAACUGCAUACUAGCAAAAGCAAAAGUAGGUGAAUAGACAGAAUAUUUUACAAUACUUCACCAUGCAAAGUGCUUUAUUGUCAUCGUAGGAUAUCAUGAAUGUAUUGAUGAUUGCUACAGUACACAACACGUGGCUACCAGGUGGAAGGCUAGGGAUUAAGGGUAAAAGGGCACAGGCGAGCUGGUACACAUCCCAAACAGAAAAACCGGAGACAGGUAAAGAAAGAUAAAAUCUGUUUUUCCUUGUGUGUGAUCUUACUGUUUGUUUUAAGACUAGGGAUGUUGUAAGCCCAGAUGUAAGCAGGAGCUUGACAGCACAGUGCAUAACAAAUAUAUUUGUAGCUGUCGCUA